UACGAAGGGGGCUAGCGUUGCUCGGAAUCACUGGGCGUAAAGCGCACGUAGGCGGAUCUUUAAGUCAGGGGUGAAAUCCUGGAGCUCAACUCCAGAACUGCCUCUGAUACUGGGGAUCUUGAGUCCGGAAGAGGUAAGUGGAACUGCGAGUGUAGAGGUGAAAUUCGUAGAUAUUCGCAAGAACACCAGUGGUGAAGGCGGCUUACUGGUCCGGUACUGACGCUGAGGUGCGAAAGCGUGGGGAGCAAACAGG
rnacentral:rRNA from 1 species